UUGCCCGUCACUGCCAUGGGAGAAACGGUCAGUCAAACAAUUCUGGAAAAAUGUAUCUCUUUUGUUUUUGUUUUUUCAAAUAGAGAUCAUAUUCUCCUAUGAUUCUCAGUAGACAACUAAACAAAUAGCUUGUAAUUUACUAGAGGUUCUGACAAAAUGUUAAUUGCUCCGGUCUAUUUAAUUUUUAAAAUUUGAAUUAUGUAUUGCAAAAUUUGCACCUCUGUUGUGGCUAAUAUUAAUUUCAUAAUUAUCCUUACUCCAUGAAGUAGCAGAACUUACGUGAAAAUGUGCAAAUGGCCCAUUUUGGGGUGAAUUAAAUGCAAGUCUUAAAUGUCACUGUUUAUAAGGCAUUCAUCCUUUCACUUUAAAAAAAAAUGGGGGCAUAAAAAUAGUAGCCUAUAUUCCCCCCCCCCAAAAAAAAUCAUAACCCCUGCCCACCUGGAAUAUCACUUGGGCCUGACGCUGUGUAUCAUAGAAGUUGUUGAUAUACUGUGGUUUUUUUUUUUUUUUUCUCAAACUGCUUUCCCAUUGCUUAUUCUGAAGUGACUGUAAUACUGGCUGAACCAGUGUCUGGAGGUCUGUUUCAUGAGACGCAGCUACCAGAGCGGAUUCCUCAAAGUGAAGAUGACAGAUGUGUGAUGGUUGGCUGUUUUGCUGUUGGAGGAGCAUCAGUUGAGGCAUAUAUUAGGAUGCUGGGCUGUACUGUAACCAUUGAGCCGGCUUCUCAGAUGAACUGGGCAGUAGAAGACCAAAAGAUCAGCAUGAAAAAAAAAACUCAUUUAGAGACACCAGGCUCCAAGAUGUGCAUGAUGCCUAACAACAACAAGGGAAAGUUGAGAAAAAGGAGGCCUGCUGUGACAGUGCAAAAAUGGCUCGGUUGUGGUCCUGAACGGCUUGUGGGCAUUGCCUUGUGGUGGAAAGCCCUGAGUUCAUCAGACUAUCUGUUUAAUGAGGAGUAAAGACAUCUUUUUUUGAAUCAGAAAAGAAGCUUUUCACGGAUUGAAGCUACAAGUCCUAAACAGCAAACUGGAAAUGUUUCAGUCUGUAGUACUUUAGUGUUUCUGCCUUUGGUGAGUUUUCAUUUGCAUUUACUUCCAUUUUGCAGAUGCAGUUUGCAUUUGUUAGGCCUAUAUGUGUCAGUUUUACAGGCUCUUCUCCUAGCAUUUGCUUUAUAAAUUCAGAAUGAACUGUUCCAUGUAAUUAAGUCACUUUGUCAUUCAUUUGACCAUAUUCUGUAUGUAAAUUGUAUUUUAAGCUCUGUCUCCCAGUUUCACAAGGCUAGUCCCAGACUAAAAUGCAUGUUUGAGCUGUCUUAACUGAAAAUAACGCUCUGACAGAUAUUAAUGUCAUUGGCAUUGCCUGUCUCAAGAUGCACACCAAUAAUGUUUAUUUAUUGCAUAAAGCUGUUUAAGUAUCCUAAUUUAAGGCCUAGUUCUGGCUUAAGCUAAGCCCUGUCUGUGAAUCCGUGCCUGUUUUGAGGUCACCACCAAGUUUUAGUUUUAUUAUUAUUAUUUUUUUUAAGAAUCACAUGUUUUACUUUAGUAUAAUGUUAAUUUCCUGUUCAAAUAGU